GCCUUUUGGCUAAGAUUAAGUGUAGUAUCUGUUCUUAUCAGUUUAAUAUCUGAUAUGUGGGUCAUCGACUCACACGAUAUUAACUCUAUUUUUUAAGGGGGAAAGCCCAUUAAGAUAGCUUGCUAUCUGGACUUUCACGAGUCGCCUAUGCGUUGCACUACUGCACAGGCUUGGCUCAUCCCGCCAACAAAUCAGUUAAAUUAUUAACAUUGCGAAUCUACAUUUAUGUUAAUAAAUUAUUUGCACUAAUGGGCUUUGGGCCCUAAAUAACAGUAUGUAACUGGUGGAUGAGCUAAUCGGUUUAAGCAGUAAAUCUCGGUUCUAUCGACGGAAGUACCGGUAGGAAACCUCAUAGUUGAUGCACAUGGUUUGGAAUCUUUUUUGGAUCGAAUUCACUUGAAGAUGAGCAUUAGGCUAUGAACCUCAGUAAAGUCUGCUUCCUUUGAACUUGAGCUGCCUUCAUGAAAGCUAAUCGAAAGUGAUCAACUGACCAUGACUUUGUGUAUAUGGGUAUGAGUAGUAAGUUUGAGCUGGAAGCUUUUAACAUCUGUUUUGAAAGAAUUAAACCCAAACAUAUAUAUUCAAAGAAACAGAAUCAACUUUAAUAUGGAUAUGAAGAUUCAUAUAUACCUCUACGUAUAGCAAUCCAAAAAAGUUAACUCGUUAGACCUUCUUCUCCUCUGUUGCAGUCUUUUUCUUGUGUGCAUAUGAAUGUAAAUUGAUGCCCA
rnacentral:sRNA from 1 species